AUCCACUGAAGGAAGAGCAUUGCUUGGACCUAGGCUGCUCUUUGGGAGGGAGUGCUGUAUGAUCAUAGAGCCUCUUCAACAGGUGGAACUGCUUUAUGAGAAUUAGAAUUGUUUCAUCUACUCUGGAGCUGGUCACUGGAAAGAACUUUAUAGCUCACCGAAAGGUUCUGUGAAGUGCAAGGUGUUGUACACCACAUUUCCACAGGUGCACUGUCGGGUGCACAAGUCCAAGAAGUCUGGGUGCAACCACUGAGCGUUGUUGCAUGCUGUGGGAGAAGAUUAAGAAUCUGACUGAUUAUUCUGCCUCCUGUUUCUCUCUA